UCAGAUAGCUGGAUGAUCGCUCCCGCACCCGCGGGAGAGGAAAGUCCGGGCAGCAGAGAGCAAGACAGUUGCUAACGGCAACCGGGGGCGACCCUAGGGAAAGUGUCACAGAAACGAAACCGCCGGCCCAUGCGGCCGGUAAGGGUGAAACGAGUGGGGUAAGAGCCCACAGCGGCGCAUGGUGACAUGCGACGGAGGUAAACCCUGUCUGCUGCAAGGAGGUCUGCUCACCGUUCUUUUGGAAUGGGAGUUGCUCGCUUGGCGGGCCGUUUAUAAUCCGCUAGAGCCGACGGGUGACCGGCGGCGUAGAUAGAUGAUCAUCCAGUGGCUUCGCGCCAUGGACAGAACCCGGCUUACAGGCUAUCUGAUAUG
rnacentral:RNase_P_RNA from 1 species